rnacentral:sRNA from 1 species
UAUCAUGGGUGGGAUUAAUAGACCCCAAUGGCCAACGGAGAGAUAAGCUUCAGGAGAGGUGAGAGACGAAAGACGAAAUGUGAUGUCGAACCCUUCCCUACAAGUUCUAAGUGGUUUCUGGUAUUGAUUGUCCUCCGUGCAACGUGCACCAUCAUCCUCCAUAAAGAGGUGAGAUGGUGUUACAGAUGCUAACUACGGCUUGUAGAGCUUACUCAAUGUCGAUAAGGUGGUUGGGCUAAUACCAAUAAAUGUCUAAAACCACCACAGCAUCGUUAUUUAAUGGUUGAUCCCAGGGUUUGCAAUCAAUGCUGCGAGGGUACAUGUAUUAGUUACCAUCGAGCUGGGGUGCGGAGUCAUCAUGAGGUGCCCCUUUUAUUCUUCUCCCUCCAACCACCCCCAUAUCCAUAUGCUAUCUACGUCUUGCUCAAUUGACGCAAUAACAAUUUAGCUUUGCGAAUAAAGUCGUACUCCCCUCCAUUACUGCAGAUACGUGAUUUCGCCAAGUUUCGUGCAAGUCGAAUCCAUUCAGGGAAUCGUGGACAUUAGUGGUAAGUGCGGGGACUUUGCAUGGGGGGCACUCAUUGAAGUGUUAUUACUGUUUAUUUAUUAAGGGGUUCAGAGCAACAAACUGCCGACAGUACUUACUCAAUACCGCCAUCCUGGGUAAUGAUAUUCUUCCUCUUGUACUGUACAAUACUCGGUAAUAAGCUCCUCAAAGGACGACUACUUUUCCGCCCCGCUUUUUCAAUGUCAAUGGGCUUCGGAACUUUGUAAUUCGACGACUUCUUAGAGGGUUGUUGACUGAAGUCGAUCAUUUUUCAUUUCCAGCUCAUCUCAGGGGAAAGAGAAAACAAGCAAUUAGGGAUUCAAAAAUAAAUACAAUAUAAGAGGCCGGAAGAAGAAGUAAAAACUCAAAACCAAGGGAAAUUCCAAGUGAUCUAAUGUGGUGAUGCUAUCUCUAUUCGCGUUUCGGAACUCCAAAUUUUCAAGCUUCGACACGACGAUAUGCUUCGGUCUGAUCAGGCAACGGGAUCCCGUCAUCUUCCCAGAACGCAGUCUUCUUGUCUUUUCCUUUUGCCAUUCCGCCAAUAUCAAAGGGGUCAAAAACGGUCAGGAAAAAGUUCCUAUCAUCGACCCAGCCUGGGCCGAUGCGCUCUGUUUUUCCAUCCCGGGCUAGAUAAACCACGUUGGACCGGGGGAGACAGCUGGCAGGCGGGAAUACGUUCAUCAGAACAGCGUUGAUGAAGAUGGGUACUGCAUCGAAGCACCAGAAAUAUGCCUCGGUGCGUCCCACAGCAGACCCCCAUCCUUCGAAGGUCUCCACAGCGCGAUAUACAUUCCGAACCGUCAGCAACGCGCACGACAAAUAGAGGGUUAUCAGAACUUUCCGGAGUUUCGGUUCGUGGAUGCCAGCUUUGUGCAAGCGGCGGUGGAAAUAGGCGACGAGGACCCCGAACAGGGCGAAGAUCGGGAUUUGGGCGAGGAUCGAAGUCUUGAUUAGGAUGUCACCCACUUUCAGUGUCGCCGGCUUGUGAUUGAGGUUUGAGGCUAUGGAUGCGCCAGAGGCGGCAAGGCCUUCGAUGAUAGCAUCGCAUCCAAGGAAAGUGGAUAUCACGCGACCUGGGUGCAUCGGCGAGAGCCAGGGAACAUAGUACAGUACACGGCCGAAAACGAUGGAGUUUAUUGCGAGGAAUAUAGGGCUGCAAAAAAAGAGUCAGAAAAGCGUUCGAAGUCGAAUCAAAAACUACUAAUACCCCCGAGUGGCAUUGCAGGGGACCAGGUGCUGACUCACGGGGCGCAAAACAAAAAGCAUGAUGUUGCGAUGAAAAGGUCAAGUUUCCCGUAGAGGCCAUGAGCUGCUAUCUCACGGAGGAUAUAGCCGACGACGAAGACCAGCGAGACCCAUGGGAGCAACAGGCCCAUCCUCCACGUUUUGUAUCGCCUGUUCGAAGAGCGUCAGAAAGUCGGUUCUGAGAACAGACGUCAAGGCCGAAAAGAGGUUUUAUUUUUUUCUCAUACAUAUUGUUCUGCCAUAGAUGCAGAAGACCAGAAACAAGCCAGAGAACAGCAAAAACUGCGGAUAGCCCCUUUACGGGUUUAUACUGGAAGAAGCUGAAACCCUCUGUGAAAGUGAAGUUAGAAUUUGGCUUGAGGACCAUGGUAUUCUUCCCUAGUAUCUUGCGGGAUGAAUCGAGACGUACCGGUACCAGGUCCACCCAUUGCAACGGACUUGGGAAUUAUGUUAUCAAUAAUCAAACGAAAUAAAUACUAGUAUAUUGAUUGAACAAUCGAAUCAUCUAUAUAAUGCGGCCACUCGAAGUAAACAAGUACUAGGACUGACAAUAUCUGGAUCGUCCACGCGAAAUGAAGGAACAAAUGUUCUGGAUACAAAGAACCCAUCCUCAAAAGCCCGAGCCAUGGCUGCCUUUCGAAAGAUUAUAUAUUCCCAUCCCAAAGCGCAAUUGAAGCCUUCAGAGCGCAUCGAGACAUCAUUUGGUCAACGGAAUAUCUGUUUGCACUAGCCGCAUUCGGUAGAAUUUCGUUUAGGCCUCAUUAGCUAACCAGCUCCUGAGCGAACGGGCAGCUUGCCAAGGUGGCUGCUUGGGAGCAUGUGUUCUCAAUGAUGCACCUUGCGAGGCUAUGUCAUCCCCGUAACAAAUCUUCCCGGCAGUUUCUUGGAAAUCCGGAAUGCUGUCAGCGCUGAGCGAGGGAUUGCGUACACGAGGUAAACGCGGCCCGGAUCUAGCAAAAUUAGCAAAAUACUUCUGCCUGUCCCUCACACUGAAAUACUGUUUCUCUCUUCUCAUUAACGCAGCUAUUAUGCCAAAAGAAACCGAAUUAAUUGAGUCUUUCCAAGGAAACGACCUUGGUCCCAAUGUUUGAAGUUGUCUUCAAGCACCCAUGCUACACACAUAGGAUCGAAUCUCGAUUUACAGCAAGACUCACUGCCUUACUUCGCCUCAACCCUCGGCAGCUACUGCAACUCAACCGGGAGAACGAAGCAAGCUGUUGUAGAAGCCUAUCAGCAUGCGUCUUCCACUGUGUGCGAGCGAUACUGGAGGGCGAUGACAUUCCGGACUGCUGCUUGUGCUGUCGACCAUCUGAUUAGUUUUGGAAGACCCAAAGCAGAGCCUCCCACUUGUCUGUCUGCCCCGUCUUUUACGCCACUGUAAAUUAGCCGGAUCAUCCAGGCCAGUAUUGAAUCGUCUUCUUAUACGAGUCCUAGCAGAAACUUUCCAACCAGCCAGAAAUUGUGGUGCGAACGAGUUGGAAGCCAACGUUUUUGGAGAACGCUACUUCAACUUCACCACAAGGAGAGAGAGAGAGAGAGAGAGAGAGAGAGAGAGCUGCAGCUGUUGGCACACCCGAUUUUGAGGAUUCAACUGAUGCUGUUCAAUCUAGCUUAAUUCCCAAAAAGAUCACCCACGCACGGGAUCAUCGCGUACUCUUUCCAAAAGUUUGCCGAUAUAAAUGCAGUGCAUACGAAAGGAUGAUGGUUGUCACUACUCUCAUCAGAGUCAAAGAUAUGACUGGCUUCUGUAUGAUUCAUCUCUCUCUGCAUGCUAGCAUUCUGUGUGUUGUAUCUCACCAUGCCUAGGGAGUGGAGGUCUGUGUGCCGUAUGAUCAAGUUGUGAGAGAGAAGUGAUAGCUCUGUUGAGCAGUAUGAGAUUGAGUAGGAGGAUGUAGCUUACAUUACUAAAUAAUACCAAUCCUUUGUCUGAGAAUCAAUUGAUAUGUCA